CUCCCAGCACACCCGCCCACCGCCUGCAUCCACAUGCACACACACCUGGGCACACACACACCUACCCACGCACACAUGUGUACACCCCCGGGCCCUCACAGACCAGAGCAUGGAGCUGGGUCUCACACACCCUCACCGGGGACACCAGCCCGGCCCCAUCCCCCGAGGCCCCACGGGCUGCUCAGCCACACUGGCACACUAGACCACACGGACCCGCUCCGACGCCCGGCCCCGCUCUUCCCCUGGCACCUACGCCCCCUCCGGAACAAGCAGAAAUCCCCAGCCCGCUUGUCCCCAGCACAGCCGCCCCCGCGGCCCGGGGACACACACCCCAAGGCCGUCUCGGCCCUUCCCUGGGCCAGAGCCCACCGGGCCCCUGCUCAGCUUAACGCCCACCCUCCGGGCCUGGCCCCCUCGGAGAGAGGGCGGGGCCUGAGCCACUGGCCUGCACGGUCAGGACACCCCCUCCCAGACGGUCCCCAUGCUCGGGGGCCCCCACCAGAGGAGAGGGGGCAGGACAUCCCUGGCCAGGCUGAGACUCAGCCCAGGAUGCAGGACUGGGGGGCCGGGGCCGGGGCCAGGCACUGAGCUCAGCCGGGGGGUCCCCCACCUGGAGCCACCCCAGGCCCCGCGGGCUGGCACAGCACUGACCACCCCUCCCCGUGCAGAACUGCUCCUGGAGGAGAGCUGUGCCGACGCCCAGGACGGGGAGCUGGACGGGCUCUGGACCACCAUCUCCAUCUUCAUCACGCUCUUCCUGCUCAGCGUGUGCUACAGCGCCACCGUGACGCUCUUCAAGGUGAAGUGGAUCUUCUCGUCGGUGGUGGAGCUGAAGCGGACCAUUGUCCCCGACUACAGAAACAUGAUCGGGCAGGGGGCCUAGGGCGCCCUCCAGGGCGGCCAGGGCCGCCCCAGACCCGACAGGACCGCGUCCGUCAGCUCAAGCUGCUCCGCCUGCGCCAGGCCUGCCUCCGCCCUCUGACCUCGCCCACCUCUGGCUCUCGGCCACCUCGCCCGCACCUCUGCCCUUGGGCAUCGCGGCCCCCUCAGAAGGCGCCCCGCACCCCCACCGCCCCUCGGAAGCCCGAGUGGGCAGCAGCUCGGGCCCCGACCUGACUUGAUGGACACCCACCACCACCAGCCCCCGCCAGAGCCACGGGACACCGCCGGGGCCACGUGUCCUCACCAGGAACGCCCAGCUCAGCCAGCAGGUCCAGCCGUCCACGAGGAGACCGGCGUCCAGCGGCUGACGGGACAGGGCCCUGGCUCCCUGUGGACCCCAUCCAGACCGGGCUCCAGAGGCAGGGUCCCCGAGAGGAGGCUCCUGUGUCACAGCCUGGAGUGGGAACAGCUGCCCCCAACGCCAGCGUCUCCCAGCAGGGAAGUUCCCAGACGGGCCACCAACAGGCGCUCAGGUCACCUCCAGCCCAGGGCACUCGAGGGAGGAGGACCUGGGCCCGAGGCCACGGGAGGAGCCCCGGUGGGGACAGAGCGGCCCUGCCCAGGGAGGCCGUGAGGUGCCGCCAGACCGGCCUCCUGGAGGAGGUCCCGCUGACUCGGACCCCCGCAGGCAGGACGGGCCCUCGCUGGACACAGGCAGGGGUGGAGGGGCCACCCAGGGUACAGGGCAGCCAACCCAUCCCAAGGUCCGCGGCCUGAGUCACGUCUAUUGGACCAUCCGUCCAUCCAGCAGGAGAUCCUUCUGCCUGCCCCGGGGCCUGGGUGUGAAGUGAGACCCCCAGGAGGGAGCCCCAGGCCCCGGACCCCCAAGGCCGCCCCAGAACGGACUCUCCCGCCCUGUCUCUGCGGGAACCCCAAGUGGGUUCACGGCAUCCGGGGAGCAGCCUCGGGACUGGGAGGGAAGGCUCAUCCGCCGAGCUGUGGUCGCUCUUUGUCCUUGGUGAGUGUCUGGAGCCCAGGCACUCUCCUCACUCUUGCUCUCAUUUUUCAAAAUAAACCACUUUUACAACCCCUCA